rnacentral:rRNA from 1 species
AGGGAAUCUUCCGCAAUGGGCGAAAGCCUGACGGAGCAACGCCGCGUGAAUGAUGAAGGUCUUCGGAUCGUAAAACUCUGUUAUUAGGGAAGAACAAAUGUGUAAGUAACUAUGCACGUCUUGACGGUACCUAAUCAGAAAGCCACGGCUAACUACGUGCCAGCAGCCGCGGUAAUACGUAGGUGGCAAGCGUUAUCCGGAAUUAUUGGGCGUAAAGCGCGCGUAGGCGGUUUUUUAAGUCUGAUGUGAAAGCCCACGGCUCAACCGUGGAGGGUCAUUGGAAACUGGAAAACUUGAGUGCAGAAGAGGAAAGUGGAAUUCCAUGUGUAGCGGUGAAAUGCGCAGAGAUAUGGAGGAACACCAGUGGCGAAGGCGACUUUCUGGUCUGUAACUGACGCUGAUGUGCGAAAGCGUGGGGAUCAAACAGGAUUAGAUACCCUGGUAGUCCACGCCGUAAACGAUGAGUGCUAAGUGUUAGGGGGUUUCCGCCCCUUAGUGCUGCAGCUAACGCAUUAAGCACUCCGCCUGGGGAGUACGACCGCAAGGUUG